CACGUAGGGCGCAAGCGUUGUCCGGAAUUAUUGGGCGUAAAGAGCUCGUAGGCGGUCUGUUACGUCUGCUGUGAAAACCCAGGGCUUAACCCUGGGCUUGCAGUGGAUACGGGCAGGCUAGAGGCAGGUAGGGGAGAAUGGAAUUCCCGGUGUAGCGGUGAAAUGCGCAGAUAUCGGGAGGAACACCGGUGGCGAAGGCGGUUCUCUGGGCCUGACCUGACGCUGAGGAGCGAAAGCGUGGGAGCGAACAGG
rnacentral:rRNA from 1 species